rnacentral:siRNA from 1 species
CUACCUUUCGUUGCCAUUCUC